GGCAAUUCCAAAAUAUCGGAAGUCAGGCAAGCGGGGCAGAAGGCCGGCCUGGCUGACCAGGGAUCUUCUACUGGGGCUAAGGCGAAAAAAGGAAGUGUACGGCUGCUGGAAGGAGGGUCAGGCGAUGAUGAAGGAAUAUAGGGAUGCUAUUCAUGUUUGUAGGGAGAAAAUUCGUGUGGCCAAAGCCCAACUAGAGUUGAAGCUGGCCAUGUCUUUCUCAUGACAGAGAAGGU